AUGGGACCAUGGAACAUGGGACUCAGGCCCCCGACCCUGCAGUCCUGACCAGUGCACACAGCUGCCUGCCCUUUUCCCUUGUGUCCAUCCCAGAGCGGCCUUCUGCCAGGUCCACUUGAAUCUCUUGAAGAGCUGAGUGAGUCCUGUGUGUGCCUAGCCCUGCCACAGCUCAGGGACCUGGACAGCCUGCCUGUUGAGGGGAGGUUGUGGAUGUCCUGGUCCCUAGUGAUCCCUGCUUCAGGUGAUGUGGGGCAGCAUCCACCUUAAUGCACUUCACCAAGGAGGCCAAAGUUUUGGAAGGAAGCCCUUCUCCUCUACCAUCUCAAUAUCGGACCAUCGGUCCAUGGAACAUGGGACUCAGGCCCCCGACCCUGGGGUCCUGACCAGUGCACACAGCUGCCUGCCAUCCCGAGGAAGGGUAUUUGGUCUUUCAAUGGGUUUUGAAUAAUUGUCAUUGUUUAGGAUGGUUGGUUACAAGUUGUUAAUUGCUAGUGGUCAGGAAAAAAGUUAAACAAAGGAAAUUAGAUUUAUGGUUCUUGUUUGAAA